rnacentral:rRNA from 1 species
AGAGUUUCGUAGUCCUGGCUCAGGAUGAACGCUGGCGGCGUGCUUAACACAUGCAAGUCGAACGGACUCAUAUUGAAACCUAGUGAUUUAUGAGUUAGUGGCGGACGGGUGAGUAACGACGUGGAAAACCUAGCCGUAUACUGGGGGAUAACACUUAGAAAUAGGUGCUAAUACCGCAUAAGCGCACAGCUUCGCAUGAAGUGGUGUGAAAAACUCUGGUGGUAUACGAUGGUUCCGCGUCUGAUUAGCUUGUUGGUGGGGUAAUGGCUCACCAAGGCGACGAUCAGUAGCCGGCCUGAGAGGGUGAACGGCCACAUUGGGACUGAGACACGGCCCAAACUCCUACGGGAGGCAGCAGUGGGGAAUAUUGCACAAUGGGGGAAACCCUGAUGCAGCGACGCCGCGUGAGUGAAGAAGUAUUUCGGUAUGUAAAGCUCUAUCAGCAGGGAAGAAAAUGACGGUACCUGAUUAAGAAGCCCCCGGCUAACUACGUG